AGCGAACGUUAGCGGCGGGCCUAACACAUGCAAGUCGAACGCGAAAGGUCUUCGGACUGAGUAGAGUGGCGCACGGGUGAGUAACACGUAGGUAAUCUACCCUUUGGCGGGGGAUAACGUUCCGAAAGGAGCGCUAAUACCGCAUAAGGCCACGGAGUCUCCGGACGCUGUGGGAAAAGGUGGCCUCUUCUUGAAAGCUAUCACCGAAGGAUGAGCCUGCGUCCCAUCAGCUAGUUGGUAAGGUAAUGGCUUACCAAGGCGAAGACGGGUAGCUGGUUUGAGAGAAUGAUCAGCCACACUGGCACUGGAACACGGGCCAGACUCCUACGGGAGGCAGCAGUGAGGAAUAUUGGGCAAUGGGCGAAAGCCUGACCCAGCCACGCCGCGUGAGUGAUGAAGGCCCUCGGGUCGUAAAGCUCUGUGGAGAGGGACGAAAACCCUGGUUUCAAAUAGGCUCCAGGCUUGACGGUACCUCUUUAGCAAGCACCGGCUAACUCUGUGCCAG
rnacentral:rRNA from 1 species